CAAGAGCAAGCUAGAAAACAAAUAGUUCCUGCAUGCAAAAACUACACUGAAAUGUCUGAAAGUGAAAUUUUCUUCCGUGUUCCACCCACUAAUUGCAAGGUGUAUCAAAAUUGGACCCGUUUUGUACACCUCUCGGGAAAUCGAAUAGAAAGAAUUUGCAGCGAUCAUUUCUGCUAUGUGGAUUUUAAUAAAUGUACCCGACUGAAAUUGAAAAAUCAUGUUGUUCCUUCUGUGAAGUUUACGUCUAGUAACCACGAAGUGAAAUUUGGGAGAGUAUGCUGUGUAGCCGGUUGUCAUACUAAAAGAGGAAGGUGUUUGAAAGCAUUUCCAGUUAAUAAAUUAGUGUUAACAAGUUGGAAGCUCACGCUUGGGAUAGCAGUCUCUUCAAGUACGGUGGGCUGGAUGAUUUGCCAUCAUCACUUCAUGAAAACUGACUUUCGAAAAACAAAUACAGUUCCAUCUAAGACGAUUGAACCAUUGAUACGGAUCCAAAAAGAUAUUUCGCAGGAGAGAGACCCGAACAAUUACGAGACAACAAUUACAACAAAUAUGUAAAACAGAUAUUAAGAUCAACACAGAUGUACGAUACAACAAUUCUAUACUCAACUUUGAAUGAAACCCGUGGUUCAGCUAAUGUUCAGAAUCAAAGAAUCAAAGUGGAAUCAUCAAUUUUCAAUUACCAAUCACAGCUGAUCGAAGUGGAUGUUCGGAAUAUCUUCUCUCAGACCUUCUUUUGACGAACAAAGAAGUUAAUACAUGGAUCGGAUUACCGUCACUAACUUUACUAGAGGAGAUUUGCUUUGUUCAGGGAGCACUUUCCUAAUGUAACAGUAGUACUUGAUUGCAUAGAGGUGCCGGUAGUCUCUCUAAAUUGUUUAAACUGCAGUAUUUCAUCUUAUUCUAGUUACAUAUGUCGACAAACGGUCAAGUUUUUAGGGGGAGUACACCUGUUGGUUGAAUAUCCUUCGUAAGCAAGGCAUAUUUCGAAAAAAAACUUUCGGCGAAUUUAUUUUUAACAGCGAAAAAUAGAGAGAGUGUUCCGCGAAAUGCAUUAAACUUUAUAUACCGCCAUUUAGCCGAAGUGGGAGGCUAUCUCCAUUAGAAGAAAGCAGAAACGAAGCGAUCGCACAAGCCCGUAUACAUGUUGAGCGAGUCAUCCAGCGUAUCAAACUAUUCAGUAUUCUGCGUGAUACUAUCAUCACUAAUAUUUUGGCAUUUAUCGAUAAUGUGUAUCAUUUGUGGUAUUGUGAACC